rnacentral:lncRNA from 1 species
GCCAUUUCUUGGGCCGCUCCCGUGGCAUAUGGAGGUUCCCGGGCUAGGGGUCGAAUCGGAGCUGCAGCUGCCAGCCUACACCAGAGCCACAGCAACGCAGGAUCCGAGCCGCGUCUGCGACCUACACCACAGCUCACAGCAACGCUGGAACCCUGACCCACUGAGCAAGGGCAGGGAUCAAACCCUCAACCUCAUGGUUCCUAGUUGGAUUCGUUAACCACUGUGCCACGACGGGAACUCCUGCAUUGUUUUCUUACAACGAUAUAGGAAUCAACCAUUAAUCUCAAGAUAAAAAGUUGAACUAAAAGCAAACUAAAAAAAUGCAAGGAAGUGAUCCCUAUGAAAGUCACAACAGGGGUCACUUUUGGAGGCAAAGAGGGCAGGCUAGGAGUGGAAUGGAGUGACCAGCAAAGUUCCAUGCCUGUCCUGGGUGGCAGUCAGGCAAGAGUUUAUCUAAUUCACCAAGCUGUACAGUUGUUUUGCAUGAAUUUUUGCAGCUGUGUUUUUGCCGUAAGUUAAAAUAAUAAUAAUACAAUCCAAGAGUUAGCAAGUGUGGGAGAAGUGGCCUAGCCAAUCCACUAUGAACACGCAGUGGGAACAAGAAAUAAACGUUUGUCAUCAGUCACCAAGGGUUUGUUUGUUACUGCAGCAUAAAUAGCUCAUCCUGACUAAUGCAACCAUGCUGAGUGCACAGGUAAAAGCCCUCUGGACUCCGGGACUUAGAAAUGGGUUACCAACAGUGAACCCAGCCAGAAUAAGCAAUGUGCCCUUGGGGAGGACCUGGAGGGCUAUUUGAUGAGGUUAAGAAAGCAAAGCCUCACUCCUGCAUAUUCCCCAAGGCCCACACCUACUCUAGAGAGAGACUCAGCUCUCUCCUCCAUGGAUUGUGAUCAUUUCUAUUGUACAGAUGAGACGAUGGAGGCACAGAGAGGUUUAACAACUUCUCAAGGUCACACAGCAGGCUAGUGGCACAGCUGGUCAGCUAAUAUUUGUUUACAUAAAAACCCGAGGGAUCAUGCACUAAAGAGUCCAUUGAUGACUGGGGAUUUCUUGGGAUUGUCCUUAUUUUUCUCAAAUUACCAUAAUGUACAUUUUUUAAUUGAAAAAUCAGAAAUUCUGUCUUUCAAGAACCACUUAAGUACCAACUCUAUGCUUGGUGCUGAGGUUAAGCAGUCACUCGGAGCUGGGCACAGCCCAGGCCUAAGAAGUCCCAGAAGGGAUGGGUGGCUCACAGUUCAGGCUGCCCUUUCCUGGGCCCCAGAAGGAGCAUUUGUGAGCUCCAUGCCCCUGUCUGCCCUCUCUCUGCACCUUAACCCUGCCAGCAGCACCUAAAAGCACAGGUCAGAUGGAACAUCUGGUUUGCAAGGGUUCACCUGGCCUUGCCCAGGGAGGGACAGGGGUCUGCAGCAGUAGGAGCCCUUCCUUGCCCAAGAAUGACAGCAUCUGGCAACAUCCUGCCAGUGGAUGCCCACACUGCUGCCCUAGCUUGCCCCUCCGUCAAGCAAUCUUUCACAUCAGAUGGUUAAGAAAGGCAAGGUGGCUUAAAACAAAACAAAAAAAAACCAAAACUUAAGCAUCCAGCAAAGGUCAGAAUCACAACCCCAAGACAUACGCAUGUGUUAAGAGCCACUUAAACACUCUCUAGAGUCCUCAGGGCCCCACUUGACAUUUAGUGACCUUCCCAUCCAAGGCAGGAGCUGUCAUUAAGAGCCGGGGGAGCCGCUGCCCCGGCAGCUGGGCUGAGGGCCAGGGCUGGCACACCAGCCGGCAGGGACCAGCUGGAACCCCAGGCAGGAUGUCCCAGGAGAGAAGGACACAGCAGAGGAACUUAGCCCGAUGAAGAGGCCUGCCAGAUUCGCAGUGACAAACCCAUCUGGUAUCCAUGAGGAUGCGGGUUUGAUCCCUGGCCUUGCUUAGUGGGUCAAGGAUCCGGCGUUGCCAUGAGCUGUGGUGUAGGCCAGCAGCUGUAGCUCUGACUGGACUUCCAUAUGCCAUGGAUGAGGCCCUAAAAAAGCAAAUACAUAAAUAAUCGAUCCUUCUUUAUCUGAAACGCUAUCAUAACUGGGCAUGCUGGAUCUUCUCUGGAAAUCCUACCUCUAAAGCAGAACAUUUAAAAGAAAAGUCCCCACAUCCCCCCACCUUGGGCCACAGAGAGACCCCUGGUCAGAAGCAGGCCAUGGUUGAAAAUCGGGCAGCAUAUUCCACCCAGCUUGGAGGCUGCAAACCAGCCAUUUUCACCCAGCUGCAUCCGAUUCCCAACUCAUCAAGGGCUCCUCUGAGAAUGAGUUUCACCCCUCAACAGAUCCCCACAGUGAAGCCUGAGGGCCUCCUGGGUGUUGGACAUCAGAGCUGAAAGGGAGAGAGACAGGCAAGGUCCCCCUGCCCCUGUGGGGCUGACAUGCUAGAGAAGCUGAAAAACUAGAGCAUCUCAGGCAGUGAAAAAAAAGUCAACAAGACCAGGAGAGGGAACGUUGGGAAAGGAAGCUGAGGAGACAACAUUCAGGGAGAGCCAUGUGGCUAUUGGAAGGUGAAUCACUGCAGGCACAAGAUUUUGUACAUGCAAAGGCCCUGUGGCAGAGGAGAGCUUACAUAGCCCAGGAGCAGGGAGACACUUGCUAUGGUGGGAACAGAGAGGGAAGGGAGGAGGAGGUGGUGUGCAGGGUGAGGCUGGGGCCAGAGGGCCUUCUAAUCCAGAAAAGGAAAUUUUUUAUUCUAGGAGCACCAAAAAUUCUUGGAGCGUUCUUAGAGUGACAUAAUAGGAUUCAGGGGUGUGCAUGCAACCUAGAGAAACGCAAGCAUCACAGGCUGCCUGAACAGAGCUAGAGGGAGACAAGAAAGGCAUUUUGGGUGCAAGAUUUAAGGAGACCCUCAUUCUUGGCUUUGUGCAAGUGCUAACUCUCAGUGCCCACCAGACCCUCUUCCCUAGGCCCUGCUUGGACGUCAGUGACCAGGAGUCACAUCCCUGGGAGUGACCGUCCCCUGCCUCACCCUACUGCAAACCUGCCUGUUAUCUGGCCAGCAGCUGGAGUAGGAGGCCAGAUCAGAAGGAGAAGGGACACACUUACUUUGUGUUCCAUCCACCGGGGACAGGCUGCAGGGUCUGUUUCCCACCAGGCUGGGUGCCUCCUGCCCCAACCCUACCAGCCUGGCGGCAGGUGGGGGCCAGGGCUCCUUCUAGGGCACGGGUCUCCUGCAGCGGGGGUGAGCGUCUCCGCGGAGCGGUGGGGAGGCAAAGCUGCUGGGGCAUUCUGAAGCUUCUAGAGCCCUGACCUAGAGGACUUUCACCCCCAGGACCCACAGGUCAGAGGGAGCAGCACAUCCCACCCAGACCACUGCUUCUCUGCCUUCACCUCACACAGAGGAGGUUGCACAGCCUCCGUCUUCCGCGCAGGGAGCUCAGGGACCUGCCAUCCACCCCUCAGCCGAGCAAGUCUGAGGCCUCGGGCUCCUUUUGACCUUAAUCAGCGGUAACACGCAGCACUUGGCUCAUCCCAGCCCGAAGCCGCGGCGCGAGGAGGACGCCCUCUGCUGGCGGCCAUCAGCAUCGCAGCCGCGGGGGAGCUCCGGUACCGCUCGCGGCUCCCAGCUCCCCGCAGCCUGGUUCUAGGACAGACCGACUUCCAGGGCUGCUCACUCAGCGGCGUGCGGACUCCAGCCCUCGCCAGAGUCCUCGAGUCUGCACCGCCAUCCCCUCUGGGCUCGGUCUUACCUGUCCUGGGAAUUCGAGAUGGUUCUCAUCCUUUAUGCGGCUGCCACAGGCGGUUGUGGGACCCCGUUUCCGGAUCCCUGUCCGCAGCUUCGCUCUGCUCUGGUUUCUUACCAGACACGGGGCGGGAGGGGGCGGGGGGCGGGAGGGGCAGUUCCUAUAGGAUCUCCAAAGCUCCUGGAAGGAGUCCACUUCCGGAGCGGAUCUCCCCUCUCCCAGCAGUGACCGCCUCAAAACAAUCACCAGAGCUGGUUAAUCACCAUUAAUCACCCAUAGCUGGUUCGUGCGAACUCGAAGAACCACUGUGGCGCCCCUGACUCGGUGGUCUGGCUGAGGCUGGGGAUGUUUAUUUCCAGUCUCUGCUAUGACCCACCCUGCUCCUCAGCUUCGGUGGCAUUAAACUUGAUGGGACAUGCAGAACUUGUUGCCAAAGCAGGAAGCCCAGACUCCCCCCCACCCCCACCCCCACCCCCCUGGGUUUCGGACUCAGUGGAUGUAGGGGUGUAGGCCUGAGUCUCUAGUUUAACAAUCAGCCAGGUGAUCCCAGAGGUAAGCUAAUGUCCCUUAAGGAGACACAGUGGUAGCUGAUUUUCACUCCCUAAAACAAAGGAUGGUAGGUACAGUGAUCAUCUUGUCAAAGCACCAGGCUGAGGGCAGUGACCAGCCCAAGGCCACACGGUCAGUAAAGACCAGAGCUGGGAUUUAGCCCAGACCUGGUGACCUCUGAGCCUGUGCUUCUGAACCCGUCCUUCCAAUGAUAGCAAUCUGAGGCAGAGCAAAAGUCCAGCAGCUGACUGCUGUGUCCUGGGGACUGACCUCAGCAGUGACAGUGCCAUCUGAGGGUGUCUUGAGAGAGCAACCAAUAGCGGGAAGAAGGAGUGAGGGGGCAGAGUGGGAAACAGUGAUGUUAGGCUGGAAAGGUCUGCAUCCAGUCCCUGACCUACAUCUGCCAGCUGUGUGACCCUGGACGAAUUGCUUAGCAUGUCUGGGCCUCGGUUUCUUCAUCUGCGAACUAGCCAUCGCGGUCUCACGUGGGCUGUCGUGAUGUCGCGGUGCUCAGUCAGUGGUGCCUGUGAGUGUCAGCCCUGUGCCGGGAGUCGGAGGCUGGCUCAGGUCCUGGCUGACAUUGAAGCACUGUGGCCUGGAUGAGUCACCUACUCUCAGAGCUCCAUCUGCCAGAAGAGACACCAGACCCGCCCUGUCCACCUCAAGGCUCAUUAGAAGAAUGAGCUGGAAUUAUGUGCGUGCGGGUAUCUGACGGAACUCAAAAGGAGUGCGUUAUUUAUUACAAUUCCAGGCUACUUGCAAUAACUAAGAAAGCUUCAUAAAACUUUCUUAUGCCUAACAUGGAGAUCAGGUGAGGAGAACUGUCAGGUCUGCAAACGUCCUCCUCCUCCAGGAAGCCCUCCCUUAUGUCCUGCUUUGGGUGACAGGUCCCACCUCUAUGCCCUCAAAGGACUUCUGCAUCAGCCCCUUUUAUUUCCCUAAACCGCUUCCUUUUUCUCUGCCUCCGUUCCUGCUGCCCCCUCCACCACCGAAAGCCAGGCCUAUGGGAAAUUGAUCUUGCAGGCUAGACCAGGGGGUCCGCCAAGGGGGUGAGCCUGAUGCAUGAAAUUCACCUCACUGGGAGAUUCCUGCUGUGUGCUUUCUAGAUAGGUUUCCUCUAGAGAUGGAAAGUCACCAGUGAGGGCUACUUUGUGUCAACUUGAGCAGGCCAUGGGGUACCAACCCCGUUAAACACGGUUUCCUGUGGUGAUGUGAGGGUGUUUCCCAGUAAGAUUAGCAUUUGAAUCAGAGGACUCAGUCAAGGAGGUCUCCCUCCCUCCGGGGGUCAGGGAUCCCUUGAGGCUUUCAAAAGAACAAAAAGCAGAGGAAGGAGGAGUUGGCCCUUUUGCCCACAGGCUCCCUGCUCCAACUGGAGUGUGUCAUCUUCUCCUGCCCUGAGCUGGGAUCCAUCCCAUCAGCUACGCUGAUCCUCAGGCUUCUGGACUCAGCAUAAAUUACACCAACCAGGCUUCCUGGGUCUCCUUUGUCUUACAGAUGGCAGAUCAUGGGACUUCUUAGCCUCCCUAACCUCAUGAGCCAAGUCUCCUUUUAUAUGUAUUACAUAUUAUAUUUAUAUAAAUAUAUACCUCCUAUUGGUUGUUUCUCUAGAGAAUUCUAAUAUCAUCUUUUCAGAGAAAGUUUUUAAGUGAAAAGGCUUUAAGUUUCUAGGUGAGCUUUGGGCUCUUCUUCCCACCCCUCUGCAAUAUUUGGAUAAUUCACCUGUCUUGGAGUUCUCGCUGUGGUGCAGUGGGUUAAGGAUCCAACUGCAGUGGCUC